rnacentral:rRNA from 1 species
AUUUAGGGGCGGGGUGACUGCGUACCUUUUGUAUAAUGGGUCAGCGACUUACAUUUUGUGGCAAGCUUAACCGAGAAGGGGAGGCGUAGCGAAAGCGAGUCUUAAUAGGGCGUAUAGUCGCAAGGUGUAGACCCGAAACCGGGCGAUCUAUCCAUGGCCAGGUUGAAGGUGGGGUAAUACCUACUGGAGGACCGAACCGACUUAUGUUGAAAAAUGAGCGGAUGAGCUGUGGAUCGGAGUGAAAGGCUAAUCAAGCCCGGAGAUAGCUGGUUCUCCUCGAAAUCUAUUUAGGUAGAGCCUCGUGUAUAACUGUUGGGGGUAGAGCACUGUUACGGCUAGGGGGUCAUCCCGACUUACCAAACCGUUGCAAACUCCGAAUACCAACAAGUUUCAGCACGGGAGACACACGGCGGGUGCUAAGGUCCGUCGUGAAAAGGGAAACAGCCCAGACCGUCAGCUAAGGUCCCAAAAUCUAUGCUCAGUGGGAAACGAUGUGAAAAGGCCCAGACAGCCAGGAGGUUGGCUUAGAAGCAGCCAUCCUUUAAAGAAAGCGUAAUAGCUCACUGGUCGAGUCGGUUUGCGCGGAAGAUUUACCGGGGCUAAGCAUAGUACCGAAGCUACGGAUCGACGUUUAUUUAUAAACGGAGGUGGUAGAGGAGCGUUCCGUACGCCUGCGAAGGUUAACUGAGAAGUUGGCUGGAGGUAUCGGAAGUGCGAAUGCUGACAUGAGUAACGAUAAUGGGGGUGAAAAACCCCCACGCCGAAAACCCAAGGUUUCCUGCGCAACGCUAAUCGACGCAGGGUUAGUCGGGACCUAAGGCGAGGCCGAAAGGCGUAGUCGAUGGAAAACAGGUUAAUAUUCCUGUACUUGUUCUAACUGCGAUGGGGUGACGGAGAAGGCUAGAUCAGCUUACUGUUGGAAAUGUAAGUUUAAGCGUGUAGGCAGAGAGUUUAGGAAAAUCCGGACUCUUAAUGCUGAGGCGUGAUGACGAGUUUUUCCUUGUGAAAAACGAAGUGAUUGAUGCCCUGCUUCCAAGAAAAACCUCUAAGCAUCAGGUUAAAACAACCCGUACCCCAAACCGACACAGGUGGGUGGGAUGAGAAUUCUAAGGCGCUUGAGAGAACUCGGCUGAAGGAACUAGGCAAAAUGGAACCGUAACUUCGGGAGAAGGUUCACCUUUUGUAUGUGAAGCCCCUGCGGGUGGAGCAGAAGAAGGUUGCAAUAAAUUGGUGGCUGCGACUGUUUAUCAAAAACAUAGCACUCUGCAAACACGAAAGUGGACGUAUAGGGUGUGACGCCUGCCCGGUGCCGGAAGGUUAAUUGAUGGGGUUAUCUUCGGAGAAGCUCUUGAUCGAAGCCCCGGUAAACGGCGGCCGUAACUAUAACGGUCCUAAGGUAGCGAAAUUCCUUGUCGGGUAAGUUCCGACCUGCACGAAUGGCGUAACGAUGGCCACACUGUCUCCAGCCGAGACUCAGUGAAAUUGAAAUUGCGGUGAAGAUGCCGUAUACCCGCGGCUAGACGGAAAGACCCCGUGCACCUUUACUAUAGCUUUACACUGGACUUUGAACCUACUUGUGUAGGAUAGGUGGGAGACUAUGAAACCAUGUCGCUAGAUGUGGUGGAGUCACCCUUGAAAUACCACCCUGGUAUGUUUGAAGUUCUAACCUAGGCCCCUUAUCGGGGUUGGGGACAGUGUAUGGUGGGUAGUUUGACUGGGGCGGUCUCCUCCCAAAGAGUAACGGAGGAGCACGAAGGUACCCUAAUCCUGGUCGGAAAUCAGGAGUUUAGUGCAAUGGCAUAAGGGUGCUUGACUGCGAGACGGACAAGUCGAGCAGGUACGAAAGUAGGUCAUAGUGAUCCGGUGGUUCUGAAUGGAAGGGCCAUCGCUCAACGGAUAAAAGGUACGCCGGGGAUAACAGGCUGAUACCGCCCAAGAGUUCAUAUCGACGGCGGUGUUUGGCACCUCGAUGUCGGCUCAUCACAUCCUGGGGCUGAAGCAGGUCCCAAGGGUAUGGCUGUUCGCCAUUUAAAGUGGUACGCGAGCUGGGUUCAGAACGUCGUGAGACAGUUCGGUCCCUAUCUGCCGUGGGCGUUUGAGAUUUGAGGGAAGCUGCUCCUAGUACGAGAGGACCGGAGUGGACGAACCACUGGUGUUCGGGUUGUCAUGCCAAUGGCAUUGCCCGGUAGCUACGUUCGGACAGGAUAACCGCUGAAAGCAUCUAAGCGGGAAGCCCCUCCCAAGAUGAGAUCUCACUGGAACUUAAAGUUCCCUGAAGGGUUGUUGAAGACUACAACGUUGAUAGGCUAGGUGUGGAAGCUCAGUAAUGAGUGAAGCUAACUGGUACUAAUUGCCCGUGAGGCUUGACC